CAUCCCUGGAGUGCAGAGUAGAGUCAAUGUCACAAGAACCUCAUAGACUAUGAUUAGAGGACAGGCUCGUUCCCAGCAAGAGAAAGAGAGAGGAUGGAUGCAAAAAACAAGAGAUGAGCAGCAUCAUAGUCUUGAUGGUACAGUCUGGCCAGUGCUGUGAUCAAGGCUCUGUUAAAUUCUCAUAGGCGCAUGUCACCUCUGGCUUGGACAACUUCCACUCUGUUACCCAACCAUAUCCCCUUAUUACUGAGGGCAUAUGUGAAUACAGAGGUUUGCCCAUCACCUCCACUGGAAGCAAUAGUCUGCUUUGGAACUGGAUAAUGUACUGAGCCAGCCUUCCACUCAGAUCAGACUCUUGGAAUGAUAGGAGGAGAUUAGGAUUGAGAAACUUUGCUUCCUGGGGAGGGACUGUGCCAGUUAUGAAAAGCCUACAGUUGUAAAUUGUCUAAUGGUGAUUGCCUGUGAAACUUGUCAAGAUUCCUGACAGCUCAGCUGAGAACCUAAUUACCAGUUACAAAGAGAGACAGGAAAAACGUGUUGUCAGAGAGCUCCUGGUCAGAGAGAAUGAGGUACAGUAUCCUGGCCCCAUCAUCAGCCUCCUUCUUGCUUCACUAGAGCACGGCACAUUAAUACAACUGACAUCGCACGUGUUUGUUAUCUGGAACAAAGGAAACAUGUCAAACCACAGCCCUGUGUCAGCUAAGUCUUUGGUAGUCACAUAAAUUGAACAGUGGCAUUUGACCUGACUGUAAAAACACUUCUGGUAUUCUCAGUGCCAAGGAUAAUACCAAACCAUACUUAACUUUCCUCCUGGAAUUUACACAGACUUCAACCAGUCCUCCUCCUUUCCUGAACUGAAGAGGAGCUAGUGAUCCUGUGUUCCAGAGAAGCUUAGAGACAGGCAUGUGGGAUCCCAAUUCCCCAACCAGGGAUCGAACCUGCCCCCUCCUCAUUGGGAGGUGAAGUCUGAAGCACUGGACCAUCAGGGAAGUCCUGACUCUGCAAUAUUACAACACCCUUUUCAUGAGGACACUCACGCUGGUUGAGUAGGUGCUCCUCCACCCAUUUCCACUAAUGUCACUGUGCUAUUCCAGCACCACCAGUUUCAGAUAUAAGCGCCAGGAAAUAAAGGGCUGGCAAUGAUGAACGUGUAAAUACCCUUGCAUAUGUCUGCAUUAAAUUACAUGUGCACACCUGUGGGUGACUGAGCUAACUGGGUAUUUGUAGAGC
ensembl:lncRNA